ensembl:lncRNA
UAGGAAAACAUUCUUAUCUCUUGGAACCAGAGUACGGGAUGGUACAAGGGGGGAGUGUUUUCCUGCAUGUUCUGUGAUAUUGUCUCUGCAUAAAGUCUGUUACAUGGUACCAGGGAAGGCAGUGAUGGGUUGAACAGCGUUCUGAAAGCACUCCAUUCCUCUUUGGAGGAGUGUAGGUUGAAGAAGUGGUCUAACACCAUUCACUCCUCUCUGACAGAUUUGGUCCUUUGAGCCGGAUCUCAAGAAGGACCAGAUGGACGGGAGCAGAAAUACGAAAGCCGAGAAAGAAGGACAGAGAAUGACCCUGCGUGUUGAAUUGUUCGUUGGGCCGGUUGACGGAUUUCUGCCCCCGCCUCACUGCCUUUGACGAGUUCCGAAUCCAGAUGAGACGCACAACAAGAAUAUUACGUAAGUAGCCUGGGGUUACUUAUUAGAAAAAGAUCGGGGAUCUUUUUAAAGAGAUCCGGGAUCUCUUGUUAGCGCUAAAAACUUAGUCGGGGACUAAGAAACCUAGUCCGGGACUAUGGUUAUGUUGUAGGCCUACGUAAAAGAUGUACAUCUGUGUGUGAAUGAGGGCGUGAAUGGAGUAAGAAAUUAGGCAAAAUUAAAACUUUGGAAAAUAUCCGGAUAUUUUUCAUAGACUCAAGAGAAGUAUUUUGCUUAAUUCAAAAAAAAACUCACCAUAAUUAAUGAAUAUGAGAUGGUUUGAGGAAAGUAAGAAGGCAAGAUGGUUAAAAGAGAGAGAGAGAGAGAGAGGAUAAGAAAGUCAAUGGAAAGUUGAGAAGAAGAUUAAAAGAAAGUGAGGAUAAGUGUUAUUCUUGUGGAGAAAGAGGGGAAAACUGCAGGCUUGAUAAACUAUAGAGAUUUUACUGUGGCCACGUGAAAACUCUAUACAUUUGAUCUGCUUUGUUCAUUUGCACGCACUUUUUAGUCUUAAGUGCGUGAAGGGGGAGUUACUAGAAAUUAUGUAAAGACAUAAAUAGAGUUGAGCAUUUGUGAAUGAGAAAUUGGGAUACUGGCAUAGACAGACACUGCGCACGCGCACAAUCCAUGUGUCUCAUUGAAAUAGCCACCAGUGACUGUGGCUGAUUUAACAGCACAGGUGGGGAAGGGACACAUUGGAAUUGUGAUC